UACGUAGGGCGCAAGCGUUGUCCGGAAUUAUUGGGCGUAAAGAGCUCGUAGGUGGCUUGUUGCGUCUGCCGUGAAAGCCCGUGGCUUAACUACGGGUCUGCGGUGGAUACGGGCAGGCUAGAGGCUGGUAGGGGCAAGCGGAAUUCCUGGUGUAGCGGUGAAAUGCGCAGAUAUCAGGAGGAACACCGGUGGCGAAGGCGGUUCUCUGGGCAUGAUCUGACGCUGAGGAGCGAAAGUGUGGGGAGCGAACAGG
rnacentral:rRNA from 1 species